rnacentral:rRNA from 1 species
AGCAGCCGCGGUAAUUCCAGCUCCAAUAGCGUAUAUUAAAGUUGUUGCAGUUAAAAAGCUCGUAGUUGAAUUUCAGGCCUGGCUGGACGGUCCGCCCUUCGGGUGAGUACUGUCUGUGGUCGGGUCCUGCCUUCUGGCGAAGCGUCAUGGCCUUAACCGGCCGUGGCGGGGAACCAGGACUUUUACUGUGAAAAAAUUAGAGUGUUCAAAGCAGGCAAUCGCUUGGAUACAUUAGCAUGGAAUAAUGGAAUAGGACAAUGGUUCUAUUUGUUGGUUUCUAGGACCGUUGUAAUGAUUAAUAGGGAUAGUUGGGGGCAUUAGUAUUCAAUUGUCAGAGGUGAAAUUCUUGGAUUUAUUGAAGACUAACUACUGCGAAAGCAUUUGCCAAGGAUGUUUUCAUUAAUCAAGAACGAAAGUUAGGGGAUCGAAGACGAUCAGAUACCGUCGUAGUCUUAACCAUAAACUAUGCCGACUAGGAAUCGGGCGAUGUUGAAAAAAUGACGC